rnacentral:rRNA from 1 species
CCUACGGGAGGCAGCAGUGAGGAAUAUUGCGCAAUGGGCGAAAGCCUGACGCAGCAACGCCGCGUGGGCGACGAAGGUCUUCGGAUCGUAAAGCCCUUUUCUAGAGGACGAGGUAGGACGGUACUCUAGGAAUAAGUCUCGGCUAACUACGUGCCAGCAGCCGCGGUAAAACGUAGGAGGCGAGCGUUAUCCGGAUUUACUGGGCGUAAAGCGCGUGUAGGCGGUGCUCUAAGUUGGACGUGAAAUCUCCCGGCCUAACCGGGAGGGGCCGUUCAAUACUGGAGCACUUGAGGGCAGAAGAGGGAAGUGGAAUUCCCGGUGUAGCGGUGGAAUGCGUAGAUAUCGGGAGGAACACCAGUGGCGAAGGCGGCUUCCUGGUCUGCCCCUGACGCUGAGACGCGAAAGCUAGGGGAGCGAACGGGAUUAGAUCCCCCUGUAGU